rnacentral:tRNA from 1 species
GGGCCCGUAGCUCAGCGGCAGAGCUGUCGGCUCAUAACCGAUCGGUCGCAGGUUCGAACCCUGCCGGGCCCA